GUCUGACGCACGGCUAUUUUGUUGCAGGGAAUGGUCUAGCGGUAACAUGCUGCGGGCAAAAUCAGUGGAACCUCUCCCUGAUGGUGGAAGAAGUUGGAAUGCAGGAUCCCAUCCAUCUUCUUUCUCGCUCUGGUUCUCCAUUUUUAAUCGGAGGCCGGUGAUUUGAUCGAGAAGCGCCGAAAAGGCAGAGGGGUGACGACAUUGUUGGUCUUGUAGGGGACAUUGAUAUCGGAAGGACUCCGUGCAGGUUGCCGUCGUCGGAUGGAACUGUUUUUGUUCUGUAGGGACGACAGGACGUGCGGCCCCUGGGUAAAACGGGGGCGCGAAGGCGUUUAGGGUGGAUGCAUGUUUUACGUAUGUGAGGCGCCUAGGAACGCAAAUGGCGUUUCCACCAUAACACUCCGGUAAAAACGCCUCGCGAGUUCUCUCCGUGCUCAAUUUUUGUUGUGUGCUGUGCAGCAUGAACUGUGAAGUUUCUUCUGCUAGGUCAGGAGGACUUUGGCUCUUCCACUGGCCCACCGAAUCAGCCGUAGUGGCACGUUGUCCACGGUUACGGCGACGAGAAUCGGGUCUUGUUCCGUGCGCGAAGCUGGUAUCCCACUCCUUUUGCUGUAUCGCUGAAGCGAAGGGGAAAGACCCGCGUUCUGGCUGUCGCGCCAAGCAAGCCUGACAGUCGCCGUUGCAGUCGAAGAGACCUCCCCUAUCUGGAACGCUCGGUGGUGCUUCUGACAAAGGUAGCAGUGCUGAUUGAUUGGAAACUGGCCUCGCCGAACUGUGCAGAGUCGAGCGGUGUUGGGCAUCUCCUGAAGCAGCGUGCUUGGUGGCCGUAGUUGAGUUUUGGAGCAGCGCUUCAAGGUUGUCUUUGUGACAUGUUUCGCCAGUUGGUUGGGCGUCGUCUGCACACGGAGCAAUGGGACAUCAAGGAAAGGAAAAGACUCAAACGAACAGCGGCAAGGGCACUCGAAGGCGGCAAGGCAUAUGCCCUUGGAAGAGCAUGUCGGAUCUGCCACAACACCUACUUUGUGCAACGCUGGACGGCUGUGGUGUGUCCUCUUUUUGAGUCAAACAGUCAGCUGUGGCGUCUCGCCGUCUUUCAGGUUCAUUCGCCGCUAGUUUUGCCUGCCAACUCG
rnacentral:lncRNA from 1 species